AUUGAACGCUGGCGGCAUGCCUUACACAUGCAAGUCGAACGGCAGCACGGGUGCUUGCACCUGGUGGCGAGUGGCGAACGGGUGAGUAAUACAUCGGAACAUGUCCUGUAGUGGGGGAUAGCCCGGCGAAAGCCGGAUUAAUACCGCAUACGAUCUACGGAUGAAAGCGGGGGACCUUCGGGCCUCGCGCUAUAGGGUUGGCCGAUGGCUGAUUAGCUAGUUGGUGGGGUAAAGGCCUACCAAGGCGACGAUCAGUAGCUGGCCUGAGAGGACGACCAGCAACACUGGGACUGAGACACGGCCCAGACUCCUACGGGAGGCAGCAGUGGGGAAUUUUGGACAAUGGGCGAAAGCCUGAUCCAGAAAUGCCGCGUGUGUGAAGAAGGCCUUCGGGUUGUAAAGCACUUUUGUCCGGAAAGAAAUCCUUGGCCCUAAUACGGUCGGGGGAUGACGGUACCGGAAGAAUAAGCACCGGCUAACUACGU
rnacentral:rRNA from 1 species